ACUGUACUAAACUAACUAAAGUGGGGGAUAGUGAGGGGAUAAAUUUCCUUAAGGAACUCGGCAAAAUCCCAAUGGCCCACCAGGGCAUAUAUUGGAACACGGGCCUCGACUGUUUACCAAAAACAUAGCCCUCGGCCAAUAUGAAAAUAGAAGUAUGGAGGGUGAGGCCUGCCCAAUGGUUGUAUCUAAAAGCGGUUGAUAAAAGUCGACCGUGUAAGGACAAUUGAAUGGCCGCGGUAACACUGACCGUGAUAAUGUAGCGUAAUCAAUAGCCAAUUAAUUGUUGGCCAGUAUGAAUGGCGCCACGAAGGCCCCACUGUCUUAAGGAAAUUCCCAGUGAAAUUGAAUUCGUAGUGAAGAUGCUACGUCCAAUUUGUUAGACGAAAAGACCCCGUUGAGCUUUACUGGGGCACUUACACGGCCCCGGCCUUCAAAACUGGGUUGAUAAGCCAAGGCUUACCAUACCUAGGGACCGGCCGAAUUUAAAUGGGCGGCUUAGACUAUGUGGCAGCCCCCCCCGUCGGGGCAGAUGAAACCCCACUCCCCCAUGUCAAAGGGGCUAACCCCCCCCCUUGGGGGGGACAGUGUAAGUAGGACAGUUUGGUUGGGGCGACCGCCUUUUAGAGAGUAACGAAGGUGCGCUUAAGGUGCGUAAUUAAUGACUGAAGCCUGACUGCGAGGGGGACACCCCGAGCAGACACCCCCAAGCCCGCCCUCGCCUUCGUACCAACGGAGGGAGGGCGGCGGUGGGGUGGGCCAUAGUGACCCGUUAAUUUAGAGUGGAAUAGUUAACGAUCAACGAAUAAAAGUUACCACGGGGAUAACAGCGUAAUAUCGUUAGAGAGUUCACAUCGACGACGAUGUUUGCGACCUCGAUG
rnacentral:rRNA from 1 species